AUGAAUCCCCUGUCAGAUGGCAAGUAUUUUCUCCAUUCUUGCUGUGUGCACUCCUGUGGGACACCCUGCCAUCAGACCCAGACUGUUAAGGUUAUUGUUGGGAAAGACAAGGCAGAAAGAUUCCAGAAUAUCUGAUCCAUUAUAAUGGUUGGAACAGAAGCUGGGAUAAAUGGGCUGUAGAUCAUGUGCUUUGUGAUACCAAAGAAAAUCACAGGUUACAGCAUAAAUUGGCAAGAAAAGCUAUAGCUCGCCUGAGGAGCACAGGAAGAAAGAAGAAGUGCUGAAGGUUGCCUGGUGUCGACUGACUCUGUCUUAAAAGGCGUCUCUACUGAAGAAAAAGACGAAAGUGAUGAAAAUUCAUUAAGCAGUUCCUCUGACAGCAGCAAAGACAAGGAUAAAGAAGUAAGUAAAGAAAGUGUUAUUGAAGAAAAGACUGAAGUGAAAGAACCAGAGCUUCAAACAAAAAGAGAAAUGGAAGAAAGAACAGUAACUAUAGAAAUCCCUGAAGUGCUGAGGCAGCAGAAGGAUGAUUGUUAUUACAUUAACAGGAGGUAAUGCUAGUGAAACUUUCAUGCCAGAUAACACCAUAAUGAUUUUGGAAUCCUAUGUCAAGCAUUUUGCCAUGAAUGCAGCCUUUUCAGCCAAUGAGAGGCCUAGUCACCAUCACGCUAUGCCACAUGCCAACAUGAACGUGCAUUAUAUCCCAGAAGAAAAGAAUGUGACCUUUGUAAAGAUGGUGGAUGGAUUAAGAAUAACAUUUGAUUACACUCUACCACUGGCUUUAUUCUAUCUGUAUGAAUAAGCUCAGUAUAAAAAGGUGACUUUGUCUAAAUUUUUUCUCCCAAUUAAGUAAAGUGCCACAAACACCAGUAGGAGCCAGGAGGAACUCUCCGUCAGCCUGCCUCUGUUGAAUCCAUCCAUCCAUGUGACAGUCCACAGAGUCAGCCAACCACUGGUGAACCAGCAAAGGUGCAGAGCUGAGUUGGAAGCACUGCAGUCUCUGAGGCAGUCCAUGUGCCACACUGCCAACUGUGACAGACUUUCUAAGAGCAGCACCUCACCUCAGCCCAAGCACUGGCAACAGGACACAUCCGCCAGCAUGCCCAAGCUGCUCCUGCUCCUGGAAAAGAAGACAUCUGUGCUUGGCAGAUCAUCUUCACCUAUUCCUCUGACUCCUAGCAAGGAAGGGAGUGCCGUGUUUGCUGGCUCUGAAAGGAGAAAAACUAAUGAAAUGAAUGAGGUCCUCUCCUGGAAGGCUGUGCCUGACAAUUACCCACCAAGUGACCAGCUGUCUCCACCCUCUUACAUUUACAUUUGCUGCGAUUGUUUAUAAAACUUCCAGACAUCCUUGGAAAGAUGUUCUUUUCUAAGAAAAAUCUGGACUUUUUUGAGCACUCUGAUGUCUAUUUGAGGUUUUUAGCAGAAUACCAUGAUGACUUUUUCCCAGAGUCAGCUUAUGCCGCUGCCUGUGAGGUGCGUUACAGCAUCAAGAAUCCCUGGGCAAUUUCUUAAAGUGUUGGUGGUUCUCUAAGAACAACUGCUCUGUCUAGCUUGGCGCUCUGGGUUCCAGAUGAACAGCCAUCAAGGUGGUGGGUCUUUACCCAGAGUACAAAUACAAUGCCCACUUGGUGGCUCUGACAGAGGUGGCCCCUGUUGUUUGAGUUGCCCACAUAAUGUAGCUAUUCUGUUAGGAAUUAUUUCCUGGGUGCCUGAAAGUGCUCUGACACAACACUUGCUACUGUGCAGGCCAUGUGUGAUGGCAGGAAAAAAGCAACUGUGCUCACAGUGAAAUGUUCACAGAAGAGUACAUAGGUUAGGCCAUUUUAAUAAACGUUGCAGUUAAUUAGCAAGAACCACAUUCCUUUGUUAUUUGUUACCAUCAAACAAAACUUCUUUUGCAAAUUGGUUUCAUUCUUUUGAUGAAGCUGAGCAACUCUGUCCACCAAUGUUUAGUUUGUACUUGGAAACCACAAAAUAGUCUCAAAGUAUUUUAAAGGGAAUCAAUAUUGAUGGCAAAAGAACAUUUGCAGCUAUACAUUUCCUUCUAACAAUUUGCUCUCUGUAAAACAUUAGUUUUGGUGAUUGAAAGAAAGCACUGCCUUUCUUGUUUGAGAUUUUACAGCUAUACUUUGCUGUGUAAUGUUAUGGUUCCCUUUCUAUAAAAUGUUAUUUUUGGUGAUCUGUCUUGUUUGAAAAAAACAAAAACAAAAACGAGAGUAAUAACGUAAAAAGAAGUCUUUGCCAACACCAAUGUCCUGGAGAGUUUCCCCAAUGUUUUCUUGUAGAAUUUUCCUCAUUUGAGGUCUUAGA